CACGUAGGGUGCGAGCGUUGUCCGGAAUUAUUGGGCGUAAAGAGCUCGUAGGCGGUGUGUCACGUCGGCCGUGAAAACCUGCAGCUUAACUGUGGGCGUGCGGUCGAUACGGGCAGGCUAGAGUUCGGUAGGGGAGUCUGGAAUUCCUGGUGUAGCGGUGAAAUGCGCAGAUAUCAGGAGGAACACCGGUGGCGAAGGCGGGACUCUGGGCCGAUACUGACGCUGAGGAGCGAAAGCGUGGGGAGCGAACAGG
rnacentral:rRNA from 1 species